ACCAGGCUUGGAUUCUUCCCUGACUCUUCCACAGCCUGCCCAUACAGCCAUCAGCAAAUCAAGCUUUUACUAAGUGUUUCCUCAUUCAUAAAACAGUAACUUCUGUCUUACAGAGAGGUGCAAGGCUAGCUGAGUCAAAGCUGGUAAAAAUCCAACGGGAAGAUGCUGCAGGAGGCUUCACCCACUGCAUUGCCCAGGGUCACGGCAGCACGCUGGGUGUGCUGUGAGGUCCAGCUUUUGUGAGGCCCCUUUAGGUAGAGCUUUCCAGAGGGACAUUAACAUUACUCUAACUGGAUACCAACCAAUUGGUGGAGCAGGAGGAAGUACCUUGAGGUGGCUUUCCUCUUGCAGUGUGCUCUAUUUUCCACAAGCCACUCCAGCUGACCCUUUUUUUUCCAAGAAGUUCACGUGGCUGAAGCUCUGCCCACUGUGCUGUGUGCCAUUCACCGCAGGGCUGUUACUGUCAGGCGCCUCUGGUACAUGUGACCUGUGCUUGUUUUGUCCCCUGAAGUAAGCUGGGCAGACCAGUGCCUGUGCCCUUCACUCUUCGUAGUCUACACAAAGAAACUCUCCUGACCAUAGCUGCUACUUCCUUGGUACAGACUGGAAAACCAAGGCGCAGUGGGUAUAAGAUAAGUAAUCCUGGCGACUUGCAGCGUCAUCAGCUUCCAUCCUCCUCCCCCAUCAUCCCUUCUGACUUCCUUUUUUCUUCCUCUCUCCCUUUCUCAUCUCAGAGCAUAGCUGAGUAGUUUCCUCUUUUCUCACAGAUUGGCUCCUGGAAUGACCCGCUCUCCCGCAGCAUAAAGGAAGGCUGCAGCCCAGGCAGGUUUCCACAGAGACGGGACCCAAUAAAUGUUCUCAGACCAGGAGAAGAGGAGUGAAGGCCUCUGACCACGCAGGCCCAGGAAGGGCAAAGCGGCUCACUAAUACUUCUCGCUCACCGCCAUGCUGGAAGAAGACAACGAUGAGACAUGUUGGAAUAGCCUGGAAACCUUCCGGGUGAAGCUGAUCUCCGUGAUAGAUCCUUCCCGUAUAACGCCCUACCUUCGCCAGUGCCAGGUGAUAAACCAUGACGAUGAGGAACAAGUCCUCAAUGACCCCAGCCUGGUCAUGCGCAAACGCAAAGCAGGUGUUCUUCUGGACAUUCUUCAGCGGACAGGGCGCAAGGGCUUCGAGGCAUUCAUGGAGAGUCUCGAGCUUUAUUAUCCACAACUGUAUAAGAAAAUAACAGGCAAGGAGCCAAGCAGGGUUUUCUCUCUGAUUAUAGACACAGCUGGGGAAUCCGGCCUGAGCCAGCUCCUGAUGAAUGAGAUCACAAAGCUGCAGAGAACGGUGCAAGAGGAGCGGCAGAAGGCCCAGGAGCUCACUGUGUGGCUGCACACCAAGGAGAACAUGAUCAGAGAGAUGUGGGUGAGGGACAGCCUGCUCCGCAAGCACCAAGAGCGGGUGCAGAAGAUGAAGGAGGAGAGGGACAGUCUGAGCAAGGAGCUGCGGAAGUGCAAGGAUGAGAACUACAACCUGGCAAUGAGCUAUGCCAAACAGAGCGAGGAGAAAAGCAAUGCCCUCAUGAAGAACCGGGACCUGCUCCUAGAGAUUGAUAGCUUGAAGCACAGCCUCAUGAAGGCUGAGGAUGACUGCAAACUAGAGCGUAAGCACUCAAUGAAACUGAAGCAUGCCAUAGAGCAGCGUCCAAGCCAUGAAGUGAUGUGGGAGAUCCAGCAGGAGAAGGAGUUGCUUUUGGCCAAGAAUCAGGAGCUGGAGAACACUCUGCAGCAGGCUGCCAGGGAACAGAACUUGGAGAAGAGUCUCUCCCAUGAGACUGUGCAGAAUGACUGCAGCCAGGUACUGGAACGCCGGGACCUGCUGAACACCGUGUACCACCUUCGCAAGGAGCUGCGCCAAGCCGAGGUGCUCCGAGACAAACAUGCAGAGGAAAGAGAGAUGCUUGAACUACAGUGCACGUCUCUGAGGAAGGAUUCCCAGAUGUAUAAAAAACGGAUGGAAGCUGUCUUACAUCAGAUGGAGGAAGUGGCUUUGGAAAGAGACGAGGCACUGCUGACCAGAGAACAGUUCUACACACAGUACUCCAAGAACCUGAUUGAGAGGGACGCCUAUCGGAAGCAGAUUCGGGAGCUGGGGGAGCGAUGCGAUGAGCUGCAGCUGCAGCUCUUCCAAAAGGAGAGUCAGCUACUGGCUACUGAAGCCAAGCUGAAAAGGUUGCAACUGAAGCUACCUGCACUGACUUCUGACCCGGAUGACUCCUUCUCCAGAGAUUCCCAGGAUCUUACUCUUCAUGGUCAUCUAGAUGAAGAUACACACCUGACUAAAAGUAAGGCUUUUACUGAGGAAAACACACAGUACAGUUCUUGAUGGGGCUGUUCAGAGGGACAGGAGAAGAUGUGCUUCUUAUUUUAGUGAAGAGGUAUUUCGACUGGGGACUCAGUUUGUGAGCGAUGCUUCUCAGUGGGGCACACUUGGCACCUCCUCGAGAUGACGCAGAAUAGGUGCACGUAAAUCAAGGCUUCUAGAACCCCGAGGCAUUCUGCUGUCCCACCAUCCUUCUCACCUAUAAAAAGAAGAGCGUGUUCACAAAUACUGGGAACAGUGAAUGCUUGUACAGCUUUUUUUAGAGGGAAAAAUCUCUACGUGUUAUUUGCUGUGUGGUCUCUGAAAUGGUCUUUUGUAUAGGUGAACAACUUGGAAAAAGUGGUGAUGUCAGACCAUCCUAGGUCCUUUAGUCUUUUCUCAGUCAUCUGCCUUCAGAAUUUGUUCAGGAAAAAUCACCUGGUACACGAUGCCUGUGAGGAACAGCCCCUGGGUGCCUCUUCUUCACACAGUCCUCUUGUGUUUGUGGCUGAGCUGAGAAUGGAACGAGCGUCCUUCCACCCCAGCUGAACCACGUGGCUUUCUCCAGAGCCAUUUCUUUGCUUUCUUUUAUGCUGCAGGCUAUUUUCACAAAAGCAGAACCAUGUCAUUAGUACUGUCACCGGUUCUGUUUUUGUGGCAGCCCUACUGGAAAUGAUUCAGCAGUGCGGAGAAGAAUAAACAGAGCCCUUUAAAACUUGAGAUUCUCCUUUGAAACAUGUUGAGAAAGGAAGGAAACAAGCAAAGAUCCCCUACAUUCUAAGUAAUCAUUCAUUGAGAUGGGAGAUUUUUCACACAAGCUACAAUAUUGAAACAGAAUGCCUUCUAUUAAUCUACCUCACUCAAUUCAAAAUUACAUACCUCAGUAUCUGAUCACUACAUUAGGAGUUUUGCUAAAAUAUGACCUGAUAUUGAAUAUCUUAUUAUGCACAACUUAGUUGCUGGGGAACAGGGACAAACUGUGGUUAUAGUAAUGUUUAGCGUGAUUUCUUAUGGUUAUCUCCAACAUUAUUCUUUUAGUGGUGUUAGAUGCUGCUCCGCAGUGGUUCAUUUUGCUGCUCCUCAUGCAGAAAUUAGAUGGUGUCUCUGGUGGGGAAUUCCAUCACCCUAAGCAAGACUCAGAGGUCAAGUAAAAGAGUCUUGUGCAAUGAUCACGAGAUCGAAUACUGAACGUUUCGAAGCUUGAGUUCAGCUUGCUGUUGAUGCUGUGUACUGUUGAGCAGCUCUUACAUCACAGCUAUUGCUGUUUAGUGAACUGGUGGAAGGAGAAGUUACUUCAACAUGGCUACUAUGACUGAAAUUGUGAUUUAUUUUCUCAUAGAAGACUGCUGUAAAGGACAAAACCAGCAAUACAGCAUUCGAGAAAGCAAUCUGCCUGCAGAGUCACCUACUUGUGAGGAGUGCAGCUUGGCCCACGAGGACCUGUCCGAGAAGGAGCGGAGGAGGAUGAAGGACUGCUUCGAGCGUUACCGGAGGAAGCGUGCGCUGCGCAGAGUGCCCGCGGGCCGCCGUCCCGAGGCCGACUGGGAGCUCAGCUCGGGCAGCGACAACACCGACCCCGAGGGCAGCUAGGGGCUGUGAGCCCCCACACGGCGCUCGGCCGAGG